rnacentral:rRNA from 1 species
UACGGAGGAUCCGAGCGUUAUCCGGAUUUAUUGGGUUUAAAGGGUGCGUAGGCGGCCUGUUAAGUCAGGGGUGAAAGCUGGUAGCUCAACUAUCAAAUUGCCAUUGAAACUGAUAUUCUCGAGUACGGUUGAGGUAGCUGGAAUGUAACAUGUAGCGGUGAAAUGCUUAGAUAUGUUACAGAACACCAAUUGCGAAGGCAGGCUACUAAACCGUAACUGACGCUGAGGCACGAAAGCGUGGGGAUCAAACAGG